rnacentral:misc_RNA from 1 species
GAGGAAAGGUCUUGCUCAUACCUUGAGGGCGGUACAUACAAGCGCCGACAAACUGCAAGCAAAAGCCGACUCGCGCGUAUACAUGCACUGGCGUGUAUGCAUGCCUGUGCGUAACCCGCCUUGUGCGCUUUUCUUCCACAUCCGCAACAUCUGCCUCAUUCUUUUUCGUGUCGCCUGACUGGACGCGCGCGGUGUCGGCGACAGUCGCUUUCUGGCUCUCACCAACACAUAUACACACACCGGUAUAAAUCUCUAUAUCUGUACUCAUCUCUCUAUGGAUACAGACGGACCUGAGUGCGCGUGCCUAUUCAUCAUUGAAACCAUCAACGCGAACAUCAACACUCCCCCGACGAAAAAGCGUUUCGACGCAACCGCGAACGGAACGGGAAAAUGCCAGACUAUGGCCAGGUGCCAAGCUUGCUCAAGCGGCCUCUGCGCAUGCCGCGGCGUCGCCUCAGCGCGCGUCGGCGACAGGCUCUUAUAGCCUUCAUCGCCAUUCUAUGUCUGUGUGGGCUUCCUUUUAUGUACUUCUUCUCGACCUCGUCGGCAACCGCGCUGGGCGAGCUUCCUGAUCCGAGAGAAAAGCCGUGGAUCACCUCCGAUGAGAACUCGACACGUUUCGAGCACAUCGUACACGGCCGCACCCCGGGGACGGCGUGGCGUGAUCCUCGCUUCAACAUGAUCUUCUCCUUCUCCAAGUCUGGCGACGUUGUGCACGUGACUCCCACCAAUUACGUCCGCCACCGCCGAGGCAGUGAUGACAGCCCUGGCACGUUCCGCAAGUGGGAAUCCAUCUACCAGCCUAGCGACAAGUACCGCAUCCCUGCCUGGGCCACGCCGGCGGACCGCGACGCGCUGCACCACGCGUCUAUCUUUACUUCCUUGGCCGCGUUUCGCGACCACGAGUGCGCGCUGACGCUGCGCAACCUGUUCGACAUGGCUGUUGCGCCGCACCGCCUGUACGUUGGCGUGAGCGAGGAGCGCAGCCCGUCGGACGCGAGCUGCUUCUCGAGCAUUGGCGUAGACGACCUGGCGAGCGGCGAGACGCGGCGUGUGCUGUACGGCGCGGAAGCGCCGCGCACGCUUGGCUUGGAGGUGCGCUCGCUGACGUGGGCAGACGUGGUCGCGCCGCGGCAGUUGCUGGACGUGGAUGCCGCGUUGAGCGUGCCCACCGACGGUGUUGCGGAAUAUGGCGCGCGGCCUGCUGGCGUGUUUUUGCACCCGGCGCACGCAGGGGAGCGGGUGACAUGCGUUGCCGGGGAGCUGGAGACGGCGCGUGACAGGUUGCUGUUAGCGGAGGACGACGCGAGGCAAGGCAUGGAUGGCGGGUCUGUGUUCCGGCGCGGGCGCGGGGGCCCCCAGCAGCAGCCGUCGCGCGCACUGGCUGGGUGCCGCGUGACGACGCGCGUGGCGGAGCCCGCGUUUGCGCGCGGGCCGACGUUUGGGCGGUACAUCACGAGCCUGUUCUUUUUCGACCAGGACUACUACAUGGUAGUGGACAGUCACACGCGGUUUUCUGUGGACUGGGACAUGAAGCUGAUCACGCGCGUGUUUCAGCUGCCGACGCGCGGCGUGCUGUCGCACUACCCGAACGGCUACCGCGAGGGGCACGACCGUGAGGAGUUCGACAAGAAGAUCGUUAUGCUGAUGUGCACAGCGCAGGUGCUCAGCAACGGCAUGCCAAAACUUGGGGCGCGGUGGAUGAAGUUGUCGCCGCACCCGGUCCUGCAGGGCUUCGCGGCUGCGGGCUUCAUGUUCGGCGACGCGCAGUUCAUGCUGGACACGCCGUUCGACCCUUUCCUGCCGUACAUGUUCGACGGCGAGGAGGUGCUGUACUCUGCGCGGAUGUGGACUGCCGGCUGGGAUCUCUACGGACCUGGGCAGCCGGACGUGUUUCACCACUACGGGCGACCGAACACGCCGAAAUACUUUGGGAUCAUGACGCCGAAGGAGGCUGCGCGGCGUGUGCUGUCAGAGCAGCGGACGCUAUACAUGCUGCGGCGCGCGCACCCGUGGAUUGAGGAGCUUGUACGCCGCGGCUACGUGAGCGCUAACGGGCAGUCGACUCUGAAGCCGCUGCCGCUGGAGGAGGCGCCGGAGACGCGGCUUAUCGUGACGGACGAAGUUGCUGCUGAGACGCGCGAGAUCAGCGUGUGGGCGAAAUACUACGGGAUGGGCACAGAGCGGUCUGUGUCGGCUUACUGGCAGCACACGGAGCUGUCCGACGCGUUUGUGAAGGCGAAGGACGAGGAGAACAGGUGGCUGGGUGGCUUUGGGUUGUGCCAAAAAGGCGGCGCCAUGGCGUGAGGUGCACCUGCCACGCCGUGGAGCGAAGAUGUGCGGAGGGCGGUCUAGGGAAGGGACACAAGCGAGAAGGGGAGGGACGAGCUCAAGGCGGCAAGUUUCUGCUAACGGCCUCCGGCGCUGCGUCCGUUCUUGGGGGCGCUCCUCUUAUGCUUAUAUCUGUGUACGUCUCUCUUUCUCUCUCUGUUUUUUUUUUUUUUCGGGGAGGGGGAGGAGGAGGGGAUGUGACCGAGCGGCAGCAGCAGCACGGUUGGGCGUGGCGUCAGCUGGCGCUGGUGAGGCGUGCGAGAGGAGGAAGGCAGCAUGCAACGUCCACAGCCAAACGUGCUCGCGUGCAGAUAUGCUGGCGUGUGUAUUGGGUGUUUGAUCCAUGUUUGCACGGCACCUCACGAUCUCUCUCUUUAUCUCCCUUUUGCUUUUCUUUUUGGCGUGCCCUCUUCUCUGCCUCUCACUCUCUGGCUUCCACCGCGUCUCCUUGCUACGAAUCUUGCUUGGGUGUCACGUCUCUGACGUCGAUUCUCCCCCCUUCCUCUCCGUACUUUCGCUGUUACGCGCCGCUGGCCUGGCACAGGUGCGUCGGAGGGAGGGGCUCGAGCACACCGCCAUCCAUUCCCUCCAUCACACGCUUGCAUGUGGGCAGGGGGGCUUCUGGUUGUGGCAGCGCACGGCCGAGUGCAGAGCACCGCUUGUCGCUCGGGUUCUUUUUCCGGCACGCUCCGGCGCGCUCUCCUCGCCGUGCCCACACGCCAGCAAGCUUACGCGCGCGUCUCAAAGAACAACACCAAAGAGGGCGUCUCUGUGGCGACUCCGCCCUUUUCGUUCGCGUUAUUCCCAAUCCCCCCCUCCCCCGCCCGCCAGCCGUGCGGAUUACUGAGGUGCUCGUCUCAGAAUGACGCGUUGAAAGGGAGCGAAUUCCCCACCUCCUUUCCAAAAAUAGAGAAAAUCAAGGGAAUUCCAACCCUGCCCGACACGCUUGUGAGCCCUCGCCAUUGCUGCGCUUCGAUGCUCUCGUGGCCUUCAUGGAAUGGUUGCCUCAGCGCCCACCGUGAGCGCGAUCACGCAGCCGCGACACGCACGGUCGCUUACGGCACUUUACCACCCUCCCUCCCAACCGCCUCUUUUCCCGUUCUCUCGUCUUCAUGGCGGCCGUGCCCCCUCGUCUGGGAGGCGACUGUCUUCUUUUUCAG